rnacentral:rRNA from 1 species
GGCUACACACGUGCUACAAUGGGUAGUACAGAGAGUCGCAAAGCCGCGAGGUGGAGCUAAUCUCAGAAAACUAUUCUUAGUUCGGAUUGUACUCUGCAACUCGAGUACAUGAAGUUGGAAUCGCUAGUAAUCGCGAAUCAGCAAUGUCGCGGUGAAUACGUUCUCGGGUCCUGUACACACCGCCCGUCACACCACGAGAGUUGGUUGCACCUGAAGUAGCAGGCCUAACCGUAAGGAGGGAUGCUCCGAGGGUGUGAUUAGCGAUUGGGGUGAAGUCGUAACAAGGUAUCCGUACGGGAACGU